rnacentral:sRNA from 1 species
CCGCAGUAGGAGCCCCUAUGUAGGCCCUGCAGGAGGCCUGGGGUUCAGGAAAGGGCCCGCUGACCAUCUGGUGCAGGGAAAGGAGUCCAGCUCUGGCCUCUGCCCCUCAGCUCCACCUCCUGCAUUCCUAGGAGUUUUCCAGAGGAUCUGAUGGGAGCGCAGAACCGGUCCCAACAGCUACCUCCACCCUUCAUGAACGGGGGCUGAAAAAUGUGUCUAUUGAGCAGCUCGCGGUGGUCUGCUCUGAUAAGGAUUUGUGUCAGGCUACUGGCUGCUCAACAGCUGAGAAGAGCAAGCCUCCAGGCCUCUGCACGCAUGCCUUCUGCCCGGUGAGCCUCACACUGUCGUCCUUCUAAAAGACACUUCAAAAAGAGGAAAAAUCAUGCCUUCCAUACAUACAUUAAAAAAAGAAUAUGUGUUAAA